GCCAAGCCAAGUGGCUGAAAAGAUUUGUGUUGAUAAGAUAACGACAACCACCACCUUGCCGAGACUACACGGUAAGUCUCUCUCCCCAUGUUAGAUUCCUGCCUCUCCCUCACGUUAGUUCCUCUUUAUCCUAAUGUCAAAAUACACUCACCGUAGCCCUCCUCCGCACAGUCACCGUGAAACCCACUGCACGAACACCACUAGCUGUGCGCUAUCACCCCAAAGCCAAGCCAACCAAUGUCGCACCACCCCUUCCUCUCCACACCCCCACGAACGAUAGCCAAAAACACCCCUGUUUAGCACACACAAAAACAGAGCACUGGGUUCUCCAGUCUUGAGCCACCGACGAAAGCCACACCGCACGUCCUCUUCCUCUCCUUCGGUGACUCUCUCUCUAUACCUCUCGGCCAAACUCUCUGAUCUUCCUCCGUUGUACAUGCUGGUAGUGCACCCAAUGUGUCUUCCUUAUGUAUGGAUUCCACAACCCACGGCCACCAGCAAAAUCAGAAUCUGCUUGGAUUCGCUAAUAUUAACUCACGGGGGUCAACAGUGGAUACCGGCCUAUGAUAAGUGAAAGACAACUUCAUGUUCAUGUUAUUUAUGUAUGUAUUUAUAAGUAUGCAUAUUUUCAAGGAGGCCUUAUGUUUAUUAUGUUUACUGCAAUAAUGUGUUGUUUAUUAAAUAUUCGACUAAUUUUUUUUUUUUUUUUUUAUGUUAUAACCACCCCGGGUGAUAAUCUUUAUGAGGAUGGGACUGCAUGAAAGGACUUGACCCCAAAAGGGGAGGCAGAGGCCUAGAUAGAUUAUGUUAUGAUUAGUUUUAUGAUUUUAGUUUAAUAAUUUAUUUUGAUAAGCACAUGAGAUUUUAAUGAUUUUAAAUAAGUGCUUCUGCAGAUUCUAUUUUAGAUUUUAAGUUUUUAAUAAAGAUAUAAGUUAUUUAUUUAUAAGAAUUCUUUGGUAUCUAGUGCUUCAUUAGAAGAAAAGUUUUUAAGUUCAAGUUUAAUAGCUCGCUGAUUUCCGAAAAUUCUAAAAAUGACUUUAUUAAGUAGUGGGGUGUUAUAUUUGUUAUCAGUUCCACAUUUGUAAGCCAGCUUUUAACUUUUGGAGAGGUUGUUUCUUGCUUCAAUUCAACCGCAAUGAUUGAUUGUUAGAAACUCCAACUCUUUUGUCAUGUAGUUUCUAUAAAUGAUUUUUGAGAGUUUCCA